GACGAACGCUGGCGGCGUGCUUAACACAUGCAAGUCGAACGGAAAGGCCCUGCUUUUGUGGGGUGCUCGAGUGGCGAACGGGUGAGUAACACGUGAGUAACCUGCCCUUGACUUUGGGAUAACUUCAGGAAACUGGGGCUAAUACCGGAUAGGAGCUCCUGCUGCAUGGUGGGGGUUGGAAAGUUUCGGCGGUUGGGGAUGGACUCGCGGCUUAUCAGCUUGUUGGUGGGGUAGUGGCUUACCAAGGCUUUGACGGGUAGCCGGCCUGAGAGGGUGACCGGCCACAUUGGGACUGAGAUACGGCCCAGACUACUACGGGAGGCAGCAGUGGGGAAUAUUGCACAAUGGGCGGAAGCCUGAUGAAGCAACGCCGCGUGCGGGAUGACGGCCUUCGGGUUGUAAACCGCUUUCGCCUGUGACGAAGCGUGAGUGACGGUAAUGGGUAAAGAAGCACCGGCUAACUACGUG
rnacentral:rRNA from 1 species